rnacentral:rRNA from 1 species
GUGGGGAAUAUUGCACAAUGGGCGAAAGCCUGAUGCAGCAACGCCGCGUGAGGGACGACGGCCUUCGGGUUGUAAACCUCUUUUAGCAGGGAAGAAGCGAAAGUGACGGUACCUGCAGAAAAAGCACCGGCUAACUACGUGCCAGCAGCCGCGGUAAUACGUAGGGUGCAAGCGUUAUCCGGAAUUAUUGGGCGUAAAGAGCUCGUAGGCGGUCUGUCGCGUCUGCUGUGAAAACUGGAGGCUCAACCUCCAGCCUGCAGUGGGUACGGGCAGACUAGAGUGCGGUAGGGGAGAUUGGAAUUCCUGGUGUAGCGGUGGAAUGCGCAGAUAUCAGGAGGAACACCGAUGGCGAAGGCAGAUCUCUGGGCCGUAACUGACGCUGAGGAGCGAAAGCGUGGGGAGCGAACAGGAUUAGAUACCCUGGUAGUCC